AACUUAGAGGAAAUGCCAGCUGAGUCCUGACCUUCCUCCUUCCGUGACAGAAUUCCAGCUGUACCAUGACAGAAAUCUGACUCUGAGAGUGAGGGGAGUGUGGUGGUUUCCUUGGACUCCAUCCAAACGAAGCAAGAUGAGCAUCUGUCUGCUGAUUUAUCAAGAGGACCAGCGAUGGUUUAGGAAUGAUGGACAGUCCUCUGAGGAAGCAGUGCCAGAAGCAUGAUGAGCAGAAAUGCUGAACAAGAUGCUGGCUGGAGGGGAAAUCGGUCUCCCAGGCCGAUUAGCUUGGGCCAAAAGCCAUUGCUCUGGAUCCCACUCAAGUGUGGGUUGGCUGUGCCAAUACCAUCAACUACGUUGACUACAUUUAUAGGCAACAGUAUCUGACGCCCUUUCUGCCUAGGCCUUGGGCAGGUGUCCUUAGUGCCUGGAGGGAGAGCCAUCUGCGUUUCUCCGUCCUCCCACAAGGACCCAGAUUUGUGCAAUUCUACCUUUUGCUCCUUGAGAUGAACUCUUUCCUGGAAGACCCAGGCCAUGAUUCUCCAAACGUGCCCAAGGAUGGCUGAAUCCAAGGUGAACAAAGUUGAGGUCCAGGCUGAGACCCUGUCACUCCCUCAAAUGGACGUUCACGGGAAAACAGGACAUCACGCGUCAGCCCUGACACGCUCACGGGUAUUUCCUUGGCGAAGCAGAGGAACCCAGGGGACAGUGUCCUGGCUCUUCGGAAUCAAAUCUUCAAAUGACCUUUUGUUACUGAGGUGAAGAAAGAGUGAGAUAGUCGAAAAGAGAAGCAGGGCAGUGGAGCAUCAUCUCAGCUGUGGUGUUAAUGAGUCUGAGCAAGUCAUUUCCUCUUCCAGCUCUCACUUUCCUCACUCUGUGAAAUCAGAGUGGUACUCUGUCUAGAGCAGGGGUUGGCAGUCUUUUUCUGUGAGAUGGCCAGAUAGUAAAUAUUUUAGGCUUUGUGGCUCAUACAGUCUCUAUCACGACUUCUCAACUCUGCAGUUGUAGCUCAAAGGCAGCCACAGACCAUACUGUGUGGCUGUGUUCCAAAGAAACUUGAUUUCUAGAAACAAGCGGUGGCCUAGAUAUGGCUCACAGGCCAUGGUUUGUCAACCCCAGAUCUUCUAGGUGUUCUCCAAAGUCUCUUUAAGUUUCAACAAUUCCUUUAGGUUAGGAGUGGAUUUCCUUGA